GCCGGCUGGGCCGGACGGAGUGGCUGGGCCCAGCACGUGACCGCCCAGCCCGGCUCCGCGGGGGGUGGGGGUGGGGCCGCCCUGGGCGCCGGAGCAUGAAAUCGACAUUUGCCUGGGGCAGGAAAGGGAGCCUGUCAGAUUCUGUCUCCAUUAGACCCUCCACCCACGGGAGCGGGGGACUGCGCUAGCGUUUUAUUUAUUUUUGUAUCUCCGGAACCAGAAAGCAAAAGUCGGUGAAAGGCCGGGAAAGCUGCGCACAUUCAGGCAGACGGCCCAGAAGCGAGGCCGGAGCGGGGCUUCCCGGCCACUUGCUCCUCACCUCCGGGGACUUCCAGGGUCUUCCUCGCCCCCCACCCCCUCCCCGCCUCGCCCCGAGGGCGUCACGUGGCGGCGUGGGGCCCGCCUCCGGUGACGUCACCGCGCUCGCAGCCGUCGCGCCGAAGAAAGGAUGCUCUAGGAUGCUGUGCAGGUGGGCGGCGGGGAUGCGCCAUGCGGCACUGCAGGUGUUUUAAGUAGAUUGGAAAAUAACAGAUGCAACCUCCGAAGAUUAACUGCGAGUAGUAAGGAGAAGCUAUAAAAACAAUGGGGAAUUCUCUUCCAACUUAGAACUUUAUAAGAUUGCCAUUCAGAAGACAUCAAGGAGAAAAGAGGAUGUGAGCCCUGUUUAAAGAAAAACGGGCAUGGAGAUGGGGUGAAGUCAGCAAAGAAAAAUGGGGAUGGGGUGAAGUCCGUGAGACUUACCUUUGAUUUUGCUAAAAUCAAAAUAAUGUUUCUGUGAAAUUCAUGCUAUGUCAGAAAAUGAGCUGGCAAGAUAUUGGGACGUAGUCCUGCAUAUACUUCAGCCUAGAGAUCCAAAUGUCAAAAUCCUAUCUUUGUCCAUAUCCACGCCUGUAUAUUUAUAUAUCCAUACAUUCAUGUUUCUAUCUCUACAGCUGUGUCUUUGCUUCUGUAGUCUUUUUAAAAAUUGUGCUUAUAGGGGCGCCUG